UACGAAGGGUGCUAGCGUUGUUCGGAAUCACUGGGCGUAAAGCGCGCGUAGGCGGCGAUACAAGUCAGGGGUGAAAUCCCACAGCUCAACUGUGGAAUUGCCUUUGAAACUAGAUUGCUAGAGUGUCGGAGGGGAUAGCGGAAUUGCUAAUGUAGAGGUGAAAUUCGUAGAUAUUAGCAGGAACACCGGUGGCGAAGGCGGCUAUCUGGACGACAACUGACGCUGAGGCGCGAAAGCGUGGGGAUCAAACAGG
rnacentral:rRNA from 1 species